rnacentral:tRNA from 1 species
GUCGUUUGCGACGCCCGGGAAGCGGUCUGGCGCGUGACGAGCUAGCCGUCGCAGAACGG